rnacentral:lncRNA from 1 species
UCAGAAUGAGAUAACCUAGUAACUGCCUCCCCCUCAAAACUGACUCCGAACGUCUUAAAGACCAGGGUGAGUGCCAUACCAUAAGGCAAGUGAGCCUUAGACCUGUUCAGGGUCUCUCUCAUGGCCUCAAACAUCAAAGCAGGAAGGUUCAAGGGGGUCUGGGUGAUCACAUGGUACAUGAUGCAAAUAUCCCUACCAGAUAAGAGGUCAUGUCUGCCACUCC